UAAGCUACCGUUUUCGCUCAA
ensembl:piRNA 21ur-2425 ncRNA